GGCCGGCUGGCGCAAUGGUAGCGCUUCAGACUUCUAUUAAAUAGUAAUCUGGAGGUUGUGGGUUCGAGCCCCACGUCGGUCA